AACAGUGAGGCUCGUCGUGGACACGGUCUGUCUAGCUCACAUUGCCAAGUAGCGUCAUGGGCCCACUCUGGGGCCACGUUUCAUGAACUUUUAAUCUCUUGAACAUAGAUAGUAUUUACUCUCUUGUUCUUGCAAUAUAAAUAGCCCCAUCAACCUCACUCCAUCUAAAAGCAAGCCCUUGAGCUUAUCUCUACUUUUGUAUCUCUCUCAUCAUCUCAAUCCUCC
rnacentral:lncRNA from 1 species